GGCACUUCCCCCGCAUGAGGCUCUGUGGCUAGGUGUUCACUGGCUUCCCCUUUUUUCAUCUUCUCCGCAAUCCUAGGGAAUGGGAGUUAUUAUCAUGAUUUCUGCUAGAGAGAGGCAAAUGGAAAAAGAAGGAGGUGAAAUCAUUGGCCAAGAUUCCAUUUCUAAGAAGCAGUAGAGGGGUCAAUUCCAACUCUCCUCAGCCUGUCCACAAAGUUGGGGCUGCAAACACUUUUGAUGAUGUUUGAUGAUUUAUAGGGAAAAGGGCCGUGCCACCCUCAUGACCAGAGGGAGAUAAGGGGACCACAGGGAGAUAAGGCACACAUACUGGAAAGGACUUGCUACCACGUGGAGCCCACUCCCUCAGACUGGCUAUUCCAGACAGGAGGAAGACUGUUGAAAAGUGGGAAGCAUUUGUAGCAUAAAUAGAACAAUUAAAUCAGGACAGACCUUGCUGCUUCACAAAUGGGCCUGGUGGAACCAUGGGCAAGCCUGUUCUCACUACAGUGGAUUCCAACUCUCCUCACUACAGAGGCUGAAGAAUGGCCACUCCCCAAUUCUGGUCAUUGAAGAAUGCUAAGAACUGCUGCCACCAACUUGAAAGCAGCUUCAGAAAGACACCAACUGAUGAUGCAGAGAGGUAGAGAGAAACUGGUCCUGAGUGCCACUGUGGAAUGGCUGACUCAACCAGCCUUGGACCCGCCCUGCCCCCCUGGAAUUCCUGAUAUGUGAGAUAAUAAACUCCCUAUUGUUUAAGCCA